rnacentral:rRNA from 1 species
CCUACGGGAGGCAGCAGUGGGGAAUAUUGGACAAUGGGCGAAAGCCUGAUCCAGCAAUGCCGCGUGAGUGAUGAAGGCCUUAGGGUUGUAAAGCUCUUUUACCAGGGAUGAUAAUGACAGUACCUGGAGAAUAAGCUCCGGCUAACUCCGUGCCAGCAGCCGCGGUAAUACGGAGGGAGCUAGCGUUGUUCGGAAUUACUGGGCGUAAAGAGUACGUAGGCGGUUAUUCAAGUCAGAGGUGAAAGCCGGGGCUCAACCCCGGAACUGCCUUUGAAACUAGAUAGCUAGAAUCUUGGAGAGGUCAGUGGAAUUCCGAGUGUAGAGGUGAAAUUCGUAGAUAUUCGGAAGAACACCAGUGGCGAAGGCGACUGACUGGACAAGUAUUGACGCUGAGGUACGAAAGCGUGGGGAGCAAACAGGAUUAGAUACCCUGGUAGUCCACGCCGUAAACGAUGAUAACUAGUUNUUCGGGCAACUUGGUGCCUGAGUGACGCAGCUUAACGCAUUAAGUUAUCGCNGGAGUACGCGNGAGAGUAAAUACAAGAAGUAGUAAGGUGUGAGAGUGCGAAGACGACGACGAGGGAGGAGG